AAGCUGAUGUAUAGGGGCUGACGCCUGCCCGGUGCUGGAAGGUUAAGGGGAAUAGUUAGCGCAAGCGAAGCUAUGAACUUAAGCCCCAGUAAACGGCGGCCGUAACUAUAACGGUCCUAAGGUAGCGAAAUUCCUUGUCGGGUAAGUUCCGACCCGCACGAAUGGCGUAAUGAUUUGAGCACUGUCUCGGCAAUAAAUCCGGUGAAAUUGUAGUGCAAGUGAAGAUGCUUGCUACCCGCGGUUGGACGGAAAGACCCCGUAGAGCUUUACUGUAGCUUAGCAUUGAAUUUCGGUAUUGUCUGUACAGGAUAGGUGGGAGACUUAGAAGCGAGGGCGUCAGCUUUCGUGGAGUCGUCCUUGGGAUACCACCCUGACAGUACUGGAAUUCUAACUGGAGGCCAUGAAUCUGGUCACAGGACAUUGCUAGGUGGGCAGUUUGACUGGGGCGGUCGCCUCCUAAAAGGGAACGGAGGCGCCCAAAGGUUCCCUCAGCGCGGGCGGAAAUCGCGCGUAGAGUGCAAAGGCAGAAGGGAGCCUGACUGCGACACAUACAGGUGGAGCAGGGACGAAAGUCGGGCUUAGUGAUCCGGUGGUUCUGUAUGGAAGGGCCAUCGCUCAACGGAUAAAAGCUACCUCGGGGAUAACAGGCUGAUCUCCCCCAAGAGUCCACAUCGACGGGGAGG
rnacentral:rRNA from 1 species